UGGUCAGUCGACCCCAUCACCGUAGCCGCCGCCUCCCAUGCCAUAGUCACCUCCCGUCCGUCAUCCCCAGUCCUCUUCGCGCGGUGGGAUCGAGCCCACGGUGUGCUGCUGCGCCGCCGCCGUGCGUCGCCAUCUUCACAUCGCCGCACCUUUUCCUUCCAAAUUCGUUUCCUCGGGUGACCCAUGCGUCCCCUAGGUGAGAUGCCGAUGCCGAUGCCGCUGCGACUUCCCUUCCGUCUGGAUCGCAGUCCCUUUGAGCGCCUUCAUCCGUCCCCUCGAAUCUCGCAAGGCGGUCGUUCCGGCGCCUGCGGAUGUCCCCGUUCUUUGGCGCAAAUUUGGGUUGAUGUGUGUGUUCCUAUGACGGCAGCUUGUUUGGGCUACGAUUUUCAGGGGCAAUCCAUCGCGUCCCGAUGAUGCGGCGAGGCGUAUGUGGGUGUUAGUCCCAGCCUCCCAGGUUUUGAUCGGUUUUGGUGAGGGAAAUUUGUCUAAGGAGAUUUGGAUAUGAUUUAGGUGUAAGGACUGUUCGGGGACAUCGGUUGCUGAAUCUCAACUCUCAAGUCGUAGUUCCUGUUGUCAGAUUUGCAGCUGGAGAGGACACACGGCUCUGACCUUGUGCAAAACAUUCUUGAUGGCUAUGGAAAAGUAGAAAGGAAAACCGCUUUUCUGCAGGAUUUUAAAUAUUUUUUUAUCCUGAAUCUGGGGUUUUCAUGUUUUAAGCAGCAAUUUAUGUUUGAUUGCUCGCUGGUAGAUUGUGGGAUUUCAUGUGAGAUUCAUAGUAUAAAAAUGUGCUGGUACAGAUACAAUGUGCAGCAAUUUAUGUUUGUACUAACCAAUGAUGUUGUGGAUUUUGUUUGGCAUGUAAGUAUGUGUUAGGAAGUGUAUGGGGAGAAAGGAUGCCAGAGUUGCGUAGUGGAGUCUGACAAUCUCGGUUGAAGUCAAGGAAAGUAGCAGUGACUACCACGACUAGACAUCACGUCCAGCGGCGACCUGCAAGAACCAGCAUCCCUGUGUGUGCUACUGUCCAAGACAGCGUCACCCUUUUACACUAUGUCCACUCCGGUCGUUCCUCCACUACAGGAAUGGAUGUCUAAGUGUCUUGUGCAUCGGAUUCCAAGGAGAAAUCACAUCCAGAAAAUGUUAAGAAUCAAUUGUCUAACCAGGUUAACUAACCAGCAUUUCUCUUUUUAUUCUAUGUAUUCAUUACUCAUUUUUAGUCACUCUCUUCAUCUCCUGAAGUUAUUAUAGGAACAAAUAUCUUUUUGAUAUCUUGUGCCAAAACCAUAUUUGAAGUUGGCAUGCACACCAAGGAUGAUUAUAUGCCUCUUUAAGUCAUCCACAGUCACAUUCUUGAUUCUUGUCUUGGCUCUAACUUGGGUAAAGACUGGAAUAUCAUCUUUGAAAAUGAUGUUAGUCAGAACGAGAAUAACUCUGUACACAUGGUGGCAGCUGCGCACGGCCCCAAUUUUAUCUCUAAUUAUUUUGGUAAAUUAUUUUGGACCCUGGGAAUAACUCUCAAACGAAAAUGAAGUUUGCUCACCUUGCUGGGACAAUGGGAGGUUUGCUCACCUUGCAAAAGUAAAGGCAUUGAAGAAAUUUGUAAGAUUAUAUAUUCAUCUUCAAGCAUGGAGGAAGGCUUGGCAUGAAGGAUGCCACUUAUAAGGUGCAAGGCAGGAGGGCUUAACUACUUAACUAGCAAGGUUUAUUUAUUUACUAUGCAUGUUUUUUCAGAUGAUUUUGCUAGAUGGUAUAUAAUUUUACUAUCUUAAUGUAUCGAAUGCAUCCAUACUUCCAUGAGUUCCAUCAAAAGAACCAUAUUGGGUAGACACGUUCCCAAGUGACAAGCACAACUCAUGGAAGAAACAAAAGAUCCAAGCUAGGAAGGCACGUUUCGAAGGUACAAGCUCAAGUGAUGGAAGUAUUGUUGUUGGGGAUUGCAAAAUACAUGUAUCUGGAUGUGAUGUUGAUGAAAGGUGUUAAAACUGCUUGCUCUAUAUGUCUAAUCUUAUGCUGGCGAGAUGUUGGCUAGAUUACCAUUUCCUUGUGUUGCCUUCUGGUGUAAUGUUCUUUCCUUGUUGGUUGCACAAGCUUGAGGUUAUCAUUUCUCAUAUAACUCUACUUUGUUUUCUUGUUCAUGGCUUUGUGCUAUAGGUCACUUAUGUGAAUAUUUAUUUUUUUA